AGAGCGAACGCUGGCGGCAGGCCUAACACAUGCAAGUCGAACGGACUCUUCGGAGUUAGUGGCGGACGGGUGAGUAACACGUGGGAACGUGCCUUUAGGUUCGGAAUAGCUCCUGGAAACGGGUGGUAAUGCCGAAUGUGCCCUUCGGGGGAAAGAUUUAUCGCCUUUAGAGCGGCCCGCGUCUGAUUAGCUAGUUGGUGAGGUAAAGGCUCACCAAGGCUACGAUCAGUAGCUGGUCUGAGAGGAUGACCAGCCACAUUGGGACUGAGACACGGCCCAAACUCCUACGGGAGGCAGCAGUGGGGAAUCUUGCGCAAUGGGCGAAAGCCUGACGCAGCCAUGCCGCGUGAAUGAUGAAGGUCUUAGGAUUAGUAAAUUCUUUCAGGUAGGACGAUAAUGACGUACUACAGAAGAACGCCCGCUAACUCGCGCCAGCAGCCGC
rnacentral:rRNA from 1 species